CCCCACUAUGCCUAAUCGUAAACUUUUAUUUACACCCAUAUCGCCAGGGAACUACGAGCCAAGCUUAAAACCCAAAGGACUUGACGGUACCCCACAUCCACCUAGAGGAGCCUGUCCUAUAAUCGAUAAUCCACGUUUAACCUCACCAUUUCUUGUUAAUCAGCCUGUAUACCUCCGUCGUCAGCUUACCACGUGAGCGACUAUCAGUGAGCUUAAUGUUUCUACACCAGUACGUCAGGUCAAGGUGCAGCAUAUGAAAUGGGAAGAGAUGGGCUACACUUUCUAUUAUAGAAGAAACGAAAAACUAUUUAUGAAAAUCUAGUUAGAAGGCGGAUUUAGUAGUAAAAAGAAAUCAGCAUGUUCAUUUUAACCUGGCACUGGGGUGUGU
rnacentral:rRNA from 1 species